rnacentral:rRNA from 1 species
UGCAGUUGACGCUUGAAUUUCCCGAAGCUUGCUUCACCGAAAUUCAAGAGUAGCGAACGGGUGAGUAACGCGUGGAUAACCUGCCUUAUAGCGGGGGAUAACUAUUGGAAACGAUAGCUAAUACCGCAUAACAAUGACUGACACAUGUUAGUUAUUUGAAAGUACCAAUUGGUACACUAUGAGAUGGAUCCGCGUUGUAUUAGCUAGUUGGUAGUGUAACGGACUACCAAGGCGAUGAUACAUAGCCGACCUGAGAGGGUGAUCGGCCACACUGGGACUGAGACACGGCCCAGACUCCUACGGGAGGCAGCAGUAGGGAAUCUUCGGCAAUGGACGAAAGUCUGACCGAGCAACGCCGCGUGAGUGAAGAAGGUUUUCGGAUCGUAAAACUCUGUUGUUAGAGAAGAACGUUGAUUAGAGUGGAAAAUUAAUCAAGUGACGGUAUCUAACCAGAAAGGGACGGCUAACUACGUGCCAGCAGCCGCGGUAAUACGUAGGUCCCGAGCGUUGUCCGGAUUUAUUGGGCGUAAAGCGAGCGCAGGUGGUUUCUUAAGUCAGAUGUAAAAGGCAGUUGCUCAACGAUUGUAUGCAUUUGAAACUGGGAGACUUGAGUGCAGU